rnacentral:tRNA from 1 species
GCUGGGGUAGCUCAGCCGGUAGAGCAGCUGAUUCGUAAUCAGCAGGUCGAGGGUUCGAGUCCCUUCCUCAGCUCCA